rnacentral:rRNA from 1 species
GGCGAACGCUGGCGGCAGGCCUAACACAUGCAAGUCGAACGGAUCCUUCGGGAUUAGUGGCGGACGGGUGAGUAACACGUGGGAACGUGCCCUUUGGUUCGGAACAACUCAGGGAAACUUGAGCUAAUACCGGAUGUGCCCUUCGGGGGAAAGAUUUAUCGCCAUUGGAGCGGCCUGCGUCUGAUUAGCUAGUUGGUGAGGUAAAGGCUCACCAAGGCGACGAUCAGUAGCUGGUCUGAGAGGAUGAUCAGCCACAUUGGGACUGAGACACGGCCCAAACUCCUACGGGAGGCAGCAGUGGGGAAUCUUGCGCAAUGGGCGAAAGCCUGACGCAGCCAUGCCGCGUGAAUGAUGAAGGUCUUAGGAUUGUAAAAUUCUUUCACCGGGGACGAUAAUGACGGUACCCGGAGAAGAAGCCCCGGCUAACUUCGUGCCAGCAGCCGCCGUAACAC